GAGUCAGCAAGGCGAAGGCAGGAGGAAGCCCACGGGCACCAGCCCUGGACUGUAUGGUGCGAACCACAGGGCAACUGGCAUCAAGACGCAGGUUGCAUUGUGAGGCUGCCCUGCAUCGUGACCCAGUUCUCCCUACUGAGGACACUCACAGACCUGGGGAGGCCUGCCCAGUGACCUUGCUGAGCACGAUACCAGCUGGGACCACCAGGAGGAAUCAGACUCACAACCAUGCGCAAGUUUGAGGCCAGCCUGGUGUAUACAGCAAGUUCAAGGACAGCCUGCACUGUGCGGUGAGCCCUGUCUCCAAGGGAAAAAACCAGAAGAAAGUCUGUCUUCCACACACUCUGCCUCAGGAAGCUCCUGCAGGAUGUGAGUGCCAGGAAGAUGCAAACGCAGGGAAAUGGAAAUCCAGGGACCAGAGGGAAACGGUUCUCAGGGAAGUCUUUGGACAAUAGCCAUGCAGCAGUCAGACUGGGGCAAAUACUAACUCCUGGGAGAACAAAUAAUCGCAGAGAAAAGAAAAUGUAGAGCCAGGAGUUUAGCUCAGUGGCACAAACACCUGCCUGGCAAGUGUGAGGUUGUGAGUUUGAUCCCUGGUACCAAAAGAAGAGAA